GCACGAAGAUAGCUCAGUCAGUAGAGCAUGAGACUCUUAAUCUCAGGGUUGUGGGUUCGAGCCCCACAUUGGGCA